rnacentral:rRNA from 1 species
GUAGGGUGCGAGCGUUAAUCGGGAAUUACUGGGGCGUAAAGCGUGCGCAGGCGGUUCGCUAAGACCGAUGUGAAAUCCCCGGGGGCUUAACCUGGGGAACUGCAUUGGUGACUGGCGGGCUAGAGUAUGGCAGAGGGGGGUAGAAUUCCACGUGUAGCAGUGAAAUGCGUAGAGAUGUGGAGGAAUACCGAUGGCGAAGGCAGCCCCCUGGGCCAAUACUGACGCUCAUGCACGAAGGCGUGGGGAGCAAACAGGAUUAGAUACCCUGGUAGUCCACGCCCUAAACGAUGUCAACUAGUUGUCGGGUCUUCAUUGACUUGGUAACGUAGCUAACGCGUGAAGUUGACCGCCUGGGGAGUACGGUCGCAAAGAUUAA